UAGUCAUAAAUUGCCAGUAUCAGUUGUGUGUGUGUAUGAAUCAUGUCCUGUUUCAUGUUCAUAUCAUCAUGAUUUCUGAAUUUGAUGAUGAUGAUGAUUUGUAAUUCAUUUUUUUUUUGUUUCAUUUACAUCAUGCGUACAUUUGAACACCAAUAAUUUUUGUGCUAUUUAAAUCAAUCAACCAGCUAUAGAUCGGUCAUCAUUUCUGAUUUUGCCAUCAUUCACACACGAAAAAAACUUGAUAAUUUUUUUUUAAUAAUUUUCAAAUUAAUCAAAUCAAAUAUAUUAAAAAAUUCAUGAUGGCUAAAGAAAAUAAAUCAAAAACUGCCAAUAAUGUUAAUGACACUAAUAAUGAUUCUGUGUAUUUGAAUGACGGUAACAUUGUCGGUAUAUUCCAUCUUUUGUCCAAUACAUCUCACCGAUUACCAUUUCAAGAAUUGAUUCGUAUUAGUAAUCAUUCAAUUAAUAUGGUGUUCCGUAAUUGUAUUGAUGAAAUAAAUGAAUUGAAUCGUCAGAUUUUAACUGAUUUAAAAUCAAUGAUACGUCAAUUGGAAUCAUCAACAGGGCCGGCCGAGGCGUCUGUGCAGACUGUGCACCGCACAAGGCCUCGCGCUGCCUUCGCCCUUUCCGCUGUACAACACAGGGCCUCGCAGCUCCAACUUUUCAAGCUAUUUUUGCACAAGGCCUCGCGAUUUUCUCGGCCGGCCCUGAUCAUCAAUUGAAUCUGAUGAUUGACUGGGGCUGUUACGUCGGUUGUUGUACAUCAACGAUGUUUCUGUAAAUUGUUGUAGAAUGUUCAUUUUUAAUUUGAAAUUUAUAGAAAAAAUUGAAGAUUGUGCCGCCUCUGGCGUCACAGCCUCGAUGAAUAGCCCCAGUUGUGUGCGAUAAAAAGAGAAAGCACGUGAAAUAAAAUUAAUCAUUCUUCUUUCAUACUCGAACCCGUCGCUACAUAAUUGGUGACCCUUGUGAUAAAUUUUUAAAAAAAAAAAAAUUGCAAAAAUCAAUCAUCAUCAACAUCAUCGAACAACAAACGUUAUCAUAAUCGAACGUUAUCAUAAUCGUAUCGAUUAUGGAUAUUGAUACGAGUUUUAAGUGUGUUAUUUUGUUUGUAAUUUGUAAAUUUUGUCAUUUCGAUUAUUUUUAACUUUAUUGUCAUAUCUUUGAAUUUGUAAUUUAAUGUUUUGAUUAUUAUUUGCCCCUAUAUAUUAUGGAAUAGGGGUUGUCUAUGUUUAUUAAAAA